AUUGAACGCUGGCGGCAGGCUUAACACAUGCAAGUCGAGCGAGCGGCGGACGGGUGAGUAAUGUCUGGGAAACUGCCUGAUGGAGGGGGAUAACUACUGGAAACGGUAGCUAAUACCGCAUACCAUCAGAUGUGCCCAGCUGGGAUUAGUUAGUAGGUGGGGUAGUGGCUCACCUAGGCGACGAUCCCUAGCUGGUCUUAGAGGAUGACCAGCCACACGGGAACUGGGACACGGAGCGUACUCCUACGGGAGGCAGGAGUGGGGAAUAUUGCACAAUGGGUGCAAGCCUGAUGCAGCCAUGCCGCGUGGGUGAAGAAGGCCUUCGGGUUGUAGAGCACUGUCAGCGAGGAGGCGUUACUCGCAGAAGAAGCACCGGCUAACUCCGUGCCAGCAGCCGCGGUAAUUC
rnacentral:rRNA from 1 species